rnacentral:tRNA from 1 species
UCCCUGGUGGCUCAGAUGGUAAAGUAUCUGCCUGUAAUGCAGGAGACCUGGGUUCAAUACCUGAAUUGGGAA